rnacentral:tRNA from 1 species
CUCAGUAGCUGAGUGGAUAAUGCGAUGGCGUUUGAAGCGAAAGGUACUGGGUUCGAAUCCCAGAAGCUGAGUA